AUGUCCUCUCUAAACGGUGCGGCUGGAUCUCGCUUAUAUACGCCUCAGGCAACGCUGGCCGUAUUGUCUCCGGAAUUCUCAGGAAGAGGCAGGAGCCAUUAAUUUAAUUAAGAAGCCUCAGGCGACUUUACUGCUGGCGAGCGAUCGACUAGGCGUGAGUUAGAUACAGUCUCACCGUUUGAGAUGGAGGACGCAGGUGGAAAAAAAGGAUAGAGAGAAAGAGAGAGAGAGAUAGAGUUGCUGUAAUGCAGGUGCAGACGAUACCUUGGGAUUUUGUACGCAUACACACAUACACAUCUGCCUUCCUGCCUAUCAUCAAUUUGUCUGGCACAUAGACAUCAUAGAAAUUCACCUUAUCGCGAACGAAGCUGUCAAUAUAUGGACGACGUCGUUAUCGUUGGCUUAGGAAACCUAUAAGAUUGCAGCGAGCAAAAAAAAAGAACCCUAAGGGAGUAUAUCUGCGUCUUGAGUGAGUGGGAAGGAAAACGUUUGUGUUUCUAGAGGCUGGUUGAAUUGGCGCACAAAUUAUCUUUUGCACGAAUCGUCACGAUACCGAGCUCGUCUGCGUGGUGACUACAACAAUGAGAAAUGGCUUUCAUGCAGUGAAUUUCUAUUUCCCCGAUCGUUUCCCCAGAUCCAGAAUAAAUUCAUUUUCGUUGAAUAACAUAGGCUAAUGAUGCAGAGAACCGUUAUCUUAAGGUCGCAGGUAUACUUCAAAUAAGGUAAUUCGGCAUGCGAAUAACCUAUUAGAGUUAUCGGAAGUUUCUCCUGAUUGUAAAGUUUCCAUUUUUAUGCUUGUUCUGCGUUGCCAUAAUAAUGUGUUCAUAGAUCUGCGCAACCUUCGGCCAUGCCGAGACCAGGAUAGGACGUUAACGUGUAUGUUUUAGAUGUUCAGAAAGUAUGAGAGACGUUUGGAGGAUAUAUACCGGUGACUUAGCAAAUGAAGAAAAAAUUGUCGAUGUAAAAAGAAUAUAUGCGCAAGGAUUAUAUGUUAUGUGUAAGAAAUGGCGGAAAUGUUAGGUUUUUCGACUUGGUAACGUUGGUUUCAAUUGAAGUAGGAACUGAAUUUUAUUUCAUUUCUAAUAGUUAUCUUGCAUCUUAUCUUUUUGCAAACACAAUUAUAAUGUCAAUUGUAAAAAAUCUGAAGAUCCGAAGAUCUAAGAACUUGGAGACUGAUUAUCCUGGAACUGUGAGGAAUCCAUGUAUACAUCUGGGAAUCUUUACUAGCCGAAGCUUUCGAAAUCGAUGUUUAGAGAAUUGAAAAAGAAUCUUGAUAUCUUCAUCGAAAUCCCAAUCUUAGCUGACCAGUUUAAGGAUUUAAGUCUGUACCAGCAAUGAAUCAAGGCACACUCGAAGA